rnacentral:lncRNA from 1 species
AACCUCUGAGCCAUCUCUCCAGUCCCAUGAUGUUUCAUUCUUAACAUAAAUUUUAUUUCACUCUAUCGAAACUUUGCAGAAGCUUUUCAUCUUGUUCUUUAGAUGUUCUUUUCUGAGAAUUAUGAAAUCACACACACAUAUAUGUAUAUACAUACAUAUAUAUCUACAUCUACACCUAUGUCCAUAUAUAUACACAUGUAUAUAUACAUAUAUGCAUAUAUACACAUAUAUGCCAUACUUUAUAUAAAUGUGCACAUAUAUGGAUAUAGGUGUAGAUGUAGAUAGAAUAUGUAGAUAAUAUAUUUGUCACAUUAUUUCCUGGGGUCAUUUGUAUUUUUCCAUAUUUAAUUAUAAAAGUUAUAUAUUUAGAUAUAUUCAAUAUAUAUACAAAAUCUUUUAUCAUCUCUAUUAUAGGUGUAUUUUCUAGAUCUAUUAUAAAACUUUGAUUAUAAAUAAUUUUUAUUUUAUAGUGGAAAAUGUCUAGAAAUAUUUUUAUUCUGAAAUCAUACUGAAAGACUACAUACAGACAAGAUUGGCUUUCACAUCACAUCUUAAACCACAUUCAGAAAUAUAUUCUUUUCUUUAAAAAAAAAAAAACGUUAUUUUUGUUUUAUGAGUAGUGCAUGAAUAGUAUAUGUACCACAUGCAUGCAGUGCCCAUAGAGGCCAGAAGAGGGCAUUGAUUCUCCAUGAAACUGGAGUUAUAGUUGUUUAUGAAGAACCUGUGCCUACUGGGGAAUCACACUUAAGUUCUCUGGAAGAGCAGCCCGUGUUUUUAAUUCCAAGCCAUGUCUCUAGUUCCAUAGUCAGUCUAAUGCUCUAGACAUGUGAUUGCGAGCGUGUGCAAGCAUGUGUACAUAUAUAUUCUAUUUACCACUGGAAAUGAUAGAGCCGUGGACUGGAUUUUAUCAUAAGGGCGUUUAGUAGCACACCUUCAGUCAGACUGUGAUGCUGGCCAUCCACUUCUGAUACUUACUUCCUCAUUUAACUCCACACAAGCCAGAUAACUGUCCAGGCCCCAGUUUCUUUACUUGUGAAAUGAGGCUGCCGACAGUACCCACUCCCAGGACUGUAUGUAAGUAUAUGAAGUGCUAGUCAGAGCAAGGGGAAGCUGUAGUUGGCUUUUAUAGAGAGGCAGCCUGUUCACACUGGAGCUAGACUGCUGACCUGUCAGCUCCCACAGACGAAGAGCAGGCUCUGACACAAAAGAAUGAAAGAUUCUGCUUUAUUUCCUAAAGUUCUUGCCUUUUAGAAACAAACAUUGCCUGAAGGAAGGUUUCAGAUAGGAAGUAGUACUUGUUAUAUCCCCUGUUGUCUAUAGCAGGACAGUUGAAGUCUGUUGCUAUCAAGUUAGGAUCCGAGCCCAUUCCCAUAACGAGAGGUUCAUUUGUUUCGUGGAAUCAUAUGCAAGCACAUUUUCCUCCAGUCUUUUCUGUCUUUAAGGGGAAAUUAUUGCAGCAGCACUUAAAACUUUGUAGUACCUAUUUGAAUAUUUUCCUUCUGUCUCCAGGAACACGGGGGUGUCCAUUACAGCGCUGAGAAAUACACACUUAGAGAAAAUAGGGAUUGAUUUUCCCUGCGGUGGUGUUCUGAAACGCUCUGAGGCAGUGGCUGAUGUGCACGGCGGAUGUUAAAGAAUCCACGUUAGAGCAUGAUAGAUGGUAGGAAUUACAAAAUGAUGCUGAAGUAGCCGAUGCAUGGUUUGCAUUCAUUGGUCUUUAAAAAAAAUAAAAUAAAAUAAAUCAAGGCUAGCUUUUAGGGUCUCCCCGGGGCUGCUGUGAUGUUAGUGGGCCUUAUGUCAAGGUCAAGAAUUUUUAGAUCCUAGGCAGGCCCCUCUCUUUUGGAUUUAUUGAGUUUUUCUUAAAGUUUAUUUGUACAUCUUCUGCUUAAAAAAAAAAAUCUCGAUUUUGAUUUUUUUUUUUUUAAAUCCAGCUCACCGUUCCCAUCUCUCCUGAGUGUCUUUGUCUUUGGUGCUGCUAACUGCUCCCUUUGAAACAACAUCAGCUACAUGGCAUGCGUUUCUAAAAUGCAUCUAUUUUCUCUCCAGUAGAGAAAAUUGUUCCUGAAUGUCCCUGUGUGGCAAACCAAGACGCUUGUACAGUUCCCUUCAAAAUCACAGUUCCAUAACUUUUGUUGUCAGUGCUUUUAAAUUUUAAAUCUUUGAGGCCAUCUUUGGAUGCUGUUCUUUUGCUCACCCAAGGGUUUCUGUGGUGAUAAGAAAGUUAGAAAUUCCACUGAAAGAAACCAAAACUUGUAAACUGGUCACGUCAAUCGAUUGCAUCCGAGCACCAGAAGGUGCUAUCCCUUCUAUCCAAAUGAAGUUUUUUUUCAAAACAAAUAUUUGGAAAGCUGCUCCCAAAAUGUCCCCUUUUCUCUUCUCUCUCUUGCUAGUGGGUAUAUCCUGAAUUUCUUCCAAUAUCUUACUUCCCUGAGGUGUAUAAACACGUAAACAUGUGUUGUAUUCUGUGUCCGUAUUUCAUCUCACAAAUUACCAUGGAUUCCAGAGCUCCUCUUACCGCUCUGCUGAUCAGAAGCCUGGACAGGGCUCUCAGCAGGAUCCUCUUCCCAAACUCCCCAGUCCCUGGCAGAAUUGAGUUUCUUGCAAGUAUGGAGCUUGUGGUAGCUUGCCUGGUCUUAGAGGCCGAGAAAAGCAGUUCCUGGGGCUUCAGAUCCGUUUAAAAGACCCAUCCAAGAUAAGCUGUUUUGGGGCUAAGUGGGUGCUUACAGAUUCAUAACUUCUUGGAAGCCAUUUUGUUUCCUGGGUACUGUCUUUGAUGACUUGGGAUCAGCAGCCUGACCUCGGAAUGCUGGACAUCCGAGUUCUUCUAAGAAUUCUGCCUGCCCUACUCUUGAAUUUCAAAAUAAAAUAAACACAUUAUAUGCUGAUUAUUUGCUGUGCACGAUGUUGUACGCAUUCAUUUUAUAAAUGAAUAAAGGUAGAGCUAGAGAGAUGGUUCAACAGUAAGGGCAUUGGCUACUAUUCUAGAGGACCUGAGUUUGGCUCCCAGCACCCACUAGGCAGUUUACAGUUCUUUGUAGCUCCAGUUCCAGAGGAUAUGACACCCUCUUCUGGCCUGUCUAGGAACUGCAUGCACACAGUGUACACACAGACGUGCAGGGAAAACACCCCAACAUACCAAACUUUAAAAUAAAUAAAAUAAUUUUAAAAAAAUCAUAAAUGAAUAAAGGUUAGAUUCAUAGAGAUGUUAUCUCAACACUGAAUGCUUUGAAGUCUCACCAACAUAAAAGGGCAAGUGAAAAAUAAUAGAGAAAAAAAUCAGUUAAGUUAGGCUUUCAAGUGUAGUUUAGGUUGUUUUUUUGUUUGUUUGUUUGUUUGGUUGGUUGGUUGGUUGGUUGGUUGGUUUGGUUUGGUUUUAGUCAAGGACAGUCACAGAUUUCAAAUGAAUUCUUUUUCAUCAGUUCUUCCUUCAAGUGGUUAUGGAAAAAGUAUGAAUUCGUUUCCCCCAGAGAAGGCGGGUGGAUUGAGGCCAGCCUAGUCUACAGAAUGAGUUCCAGGACAGCCAGAGCUACACAGAGAAACCCUGUC